rnacentral:ribozyme from 13 species
UAAAAACGAAAUUAUAAAAAUGCUUCUGUGAAAUGACGAAAUGGAUAAGAACAUACACUUUUCCCAACUCUACGUUUUGUCGCCAUCGUCUUCGAUUUUUUUUUUGCUUUUUUUUUCGAUUUGGCCAAUCACCAGCUAAAAGAAACGCGUAG